rnacentral:rRNA from 1 species
GAUGAACGCUGGCGGCGUGCCUAAUACAUGCAAGUAGAACGCUGAAGGAAGGAGCUUGCUCUUUCCGGAUGAGUUGCGAACGGGUGAGUAACGCGUAGGUAACCUGCCUGGUAGCGGGGGAUAACUAUUGGAAACGAUAGCUAAUACCGCAUAACAGUAGAUGUUGCAUGAUAUCUACUUAAAAGGUGCAAUUGCACCACUACCAGAUGGACCUGCGUUGUAUUAGCUAGUUGGUGAGGUAACGGCUCACCAAGGCGACGAUACAUAGCCGACCUGAGAGGGUGAUCGGCCACACUGGGACUGGGACACGGCCCAGACUCCUACGGGAGGCAGCAGUAGGGAAUCUUCGGCAAUGGACGGAAGUCUGACCGAGCAACGCCGCGUGAGUGAAGAAGGUUUUCGGAUCGUAAAGCUCGGUUGUAAGAGAAGAACGAGUGUGAGAGUGGAAAGUUCACACUGUGACGGUAUCUUACCAGAAAGGGACGGCUAACUACGUG